rnacentral:rRNA from 1 species
AGUGAACGCUGGCGGUAGGCCUAACACAUGCAAGUCGAACGGCAGCACAGUAAGAGCUUGCUCUUACGGGUGGCGAGUGGCGGACGGGUGAGGGAUACAUCGGAAUCUACUUUUUCGUGGGGGAUAACGUAGGGAAACUUACGCUAAUACCGCAUUCGACCUACGGGUGAAAGCAGGGGAUCUUCGGACCUUGCGCGAUUGAAUGAGCCGAUGUCGGAUUAGCUAGUUGGCGGGGUAAAGGCCCACCAAGGCGACGAUCCGUAGCUGGUCUGAGAGGAUGAUCAGCCACACUGGAACUGAGACACGGUCCAGACUCCUACGGGAGGCAGCAGUGGGGAAUAUUGGACAAUGGGCGCAAGCCUGAUCCAGCCAUACCGCGUGGGUGAAGAAGGCCUUCGGGUUGUAAAGCCCUUUUGUUGGGAAAGAAAAGCAGCAGGUUAAUACCCCGCUGUUCUGACGGUACCCAAAGAAUAAGCACCGGCUAACUUCGUG